rnacentral:lncRNA from 1 species
GGGCUGCCACCGAUCCAGGUGCUCCGAUGAAUCAGGAAUAAAGAAUCAGAUGAAACCACCCCAGAGAGACUGGCAAACAGCAGAGCAUCCCUGUGCUCCUGCUACAGGAGGGCAAGAUAUGGGGCAGCAUCUUCUGCGAGCUGAGAUGAGCACGGAAAUCUCCACGCCAGGAGGCUGGGAGGGGUCCGAGCAGUGACAAUUACCUAAGUCAAGGUCCGGUCCCUCCUCCAUGUGUCCUGCCAGUCGGGAGAGAACCAUAAGAAGCAGUGUUAGUGCAGGCCCUGCGGGCUGAAGGAGCGACACACACAUCACUAUCUACUUAUAACCACCAUUCGAUGGCGUUGGUUAAACUCCAACUGACCCGCACUGCAAAAUCACCAGCAAUGCACCUCUGCUUGGCGAGCGGUUCGCUGUUUUUAGCAGCCUUUCCAUCCGUGAACCACUAUUACACGUUUUUUUUUUAAUGCUUUACCAGGCCAAUCCGUUCUAAGUUCAUUAAUAAAAAGUUACUUUAAAAUUAUCAAAUCCAAACCAUUUAUUUUCCCCAAAUUACAGAGUGGUUUCUCAAGGCUUCCACGUUACCCUGUGUCCUGUAACCGCAUACCCCUAGGCAUGGCCGGCAGUACCCAUUACAGUCUUGUUGCAUACGUCAUUUUAACCACUUAAAACUAAUACAAAUUACACUUUUUUUUUUUUUUUUCUACAAACUGACUGCAAUUUUUUUUUUUUUUUUUUUAAACACUAUCCAUUGUAAUGCUCAAAAACUUACCACCAGGCUUAUUGAAGCCACCUCGCUCUCCAGCGCUGCUGGGGGGAUAAACGAAGAAAUGAAGGCCUUUCCCUUUACAAAGCCAGUACCGCUCUGAGCCUGUGCGGCUCACUGGGAAGAAGGGCACUGGCUAAACAUCUCCAAACAAUGCAUCUGUCUCUCUCUCUCUCAUCUCGUCACUAUGCCUUUCUUCAGGGCAGCUCGCUCAAAUUUCCUUUACACACACAACCUCGCUUGUCUGGUUCUAGACACCACUUUGCUGUCGGUACCCUUCCGUUACUUCGUAUCGGUAUUAGCAGUGCAAUACUUGGCCGAGAAAACCAUCUCUGAGCGUUGCAAAUCAAUUGCUGAGGGCCACGCUCUGGCCGAAGCUUUCGCUCGGGACUCUCACAAGCGCAGGGCAUUAGUGGGGAAGGCCACCCCGAGAGCAUUGCGGUGGCUCUCGCUUAUUGUUUUGGAAAGGCAAAGGCCGUUUGGAAGGAGACGGGCAGAGGAGGGAGAGCACCACUGUUUUCUAGCAAGUAUUGCACCUCUAAUACUAGAAAAAAGAGAAAAGUUGUCAAUACACAUUUCAAGCUGUAGCAUGCAGCUUUGCCUCCUCUGCUUAAAGUACACACCGUUCACGUCAUGUCUCUCUCGUUAAACAUAUACGUUUACACUUUUUGGUUAUUUUAAUGUUACACAAUUCUAAAGUAGUAUACCUCCUCUGGUUUUAUUACCAAACAACAAGUAUUCAGUUACCAAAGUUACAGAAGGAUUCCAUUUAUACAAUGAAUACAUUUGGUUAAGAAUAUUCUAUGUAUAUUUUUCCUCUCCAUAUGGACACCGUGUCUAGUCCCACUUUUCAUUAUGCUGCCGGCUGAGUACUGAGUACGGGUACUUUUUAAGUACUGAGGUGUAUACAAGGCUCUCACUUUGUAACCUGUAGCAUAUAAAUGCGACAAAGCAUGUUAAAAAGUUUCCAUGUUUAACAGCCAAUGAAAAUAUCAAAUAACCGAGUCAAUGAAAAAGGGCACGUUAAGAACAUCGAGCUCCUUACCUGCUGGAGACACUGAAAUCCAUCAUCACAGCAUCAUUAGGAGGGCCGAGUUCCCCUACCUGCCCCUUGGUGCUCACAGGAAGGCCACCUUUUCCAUGGACAGCACAAAGCCCGCGUCCAUAAAGCAGGGGGCCCUCUCUUAUGCUCCAGCCAGGUGGGAAUCGCUACGUACGUUGUUUAAGAUUGGGUUACGGUGUGAAAUCGGAGAGGGGACAGAUGUUUGGCGUGACACGCUCCAGAGGGGCUACCAAUUUGGAGAUGUGAUGAUAGGCAUUUCAGGUGUCUACGUCUACUUUAAACCGUUAGAGAUAAAUACAUCACGGGUGAAAUCUUUAUGCAGAACCACGGAACUCUGUUCCACUGGAGCCAAUUCAAGCCAGCCGCACUCCAACGCGAGCGGGGCUUCUCCCUCUGUUGCCACACAUCGGUGGUUGAUUUCUCCGAUAAAGAUUUCAUCCCACUUCGUUUUGGCAGAGCUAUGCAGAAUGGGACUGCACCAGGCUGUACGACAGCCCGAGGCGUUGCCUACCGGUGAGAAGCUGCAGCUCCACCUGCCCUGCCAACACGAGGGCUGGCACUCUGCAUCCCAUCGCAUCCAGUGAGCACCUAUGGGCACUCUGCAUAGCUCUGCACUGCGGUGUGAGGGGAUGGAACACACACAAAGCUACGUCUUCCUUCCCUUACGAGCCUCUGGGAUCAGUCCUCCUCCCUCGCCUUUAUCAAAACAAACAUCACAGACGGGGAGACCAACCGCUGACCUGAAAACACAGGUUUACCAAACCAGAUUUUGCCAUCAGUUAAAAUGGCCAAACUGGUUUAGACCACCUGAAAGCUCCAAUUGGGGAGCAGUCCUGGAAGCCAAGCCAGAGCUUGAUACGGUCUCGGGGGUCAUUCUUCACACUCCAGCCGAGCUCCAAGUGUUCUGACACUCAGAGUCAGGGCUUCAGCAGCAGCAAUCUGCCCCACACAUACACUUACAACGUAGCUCUGCACGCUACUGCUAAGGCUGACACAAGGCUUCUGCCUGGUACAUACCUGACCUGUCAAGUUCCCCAUUAGUGGGUGAGGCACGAGAAGUGAGUGACUCCUGGACCUGGCAGAAGGUUUGUGUGUGUUCAAUCCAAAGUUACCGUUAAACCCCACAGAGGACUUCACCUCUGCACGACCACAAAGGGAGCUGAAAGUGCCAGGUUUAGCAAUACCCCUGGUUGCCCUGGGCCCAACCAGCUGCAGGACAGAAAAAACAUACAUCCUGCCCCUAUUUCCCCUCAGGUAGUAUUUCCAUGGAUUAGAAGCAAAGCCGCUACAGAGAUGUUAUGUUAUCCAUGGAAGUACAGCUGGGAAUGUCAACCUUUCAGUCCCUUCUUUUCAUUUUUCAAAUCCUAUGGGUAAAACAGAAUUAGGUAAAAGGAGAAAAGAUUUGCUCUUACCCCAUUCCACCGCGUCCUCCUCCCCGCCCACCUCUGCUCAUGCCUCCGCGCUCAUAUCCCCCUCUUCCCCUGCCCCGGUUAUCAGGGCCGCUCAUAUUCCGGUUCUCUCCUGGGCCUGAAAAACCUCCAGAUUCCUGUCCGUACACAUUCAUGCUGCUGGGAUGGUCCUGGCGGAACGAGCCU